UACGUAGGGCGCAAGCGUUGUCCGGAAUUAUUGGGCGUAAAGAGCUCGUAGGCGGUUUGUCGCGUCUGGUGUGAAAAUCCAGGGCUUAACCCUGGACCUGCAUCGGGUACGGGCAGACUAGAGUGCGGUAGGGGAGAUCGGAAUUCCUGGUGUAGCGGUGAAAUGCGCAGAUAUCAGGAGGAACACCGGUGGCGAAGGCGGUUCUCUGGGCCUUACCUGACGCUGAGGAGCGAAAGCGUGGGGAGCGAACAGG
rnacentral:rRNA from 1 species